rnacentral:rRNA from 1 species
AACGAACGCUGGCGGCAUGCCUAACACAUGCAAGUCGAACGAGACCUUCGGGUCUAGUGGCGCACGGGUGCGUAACGCGUGGGAAUCUGCCCUUGGGUUCGGAAUAACAGUUAGAAAUGACUGCUAAUACCGGAUGAUGUCUUCGGACCAAAGAUUUAUCGCCCAGGGAUGAGCCCGCGUAGGAUUAGGUAGUUGGUGGGGUAAUGGCCCACCAAGCCGACGAUCCUUAGCUGGUCUGAGAGGAUGAUCAGCCACACUGGGACUGAGACACGGCCCAGACUCCUACGGGAGGCAGCAGUGGGGAAUAUUGGACAAUGGGCGAAAGCCUGAUCCAGCGAUGCCGCGUGAGUGAUGAAGGCCCUCGGGUCGUAAAGCUCUUUUACCAGGGAUGAUAAUGACAGUACCUGGAGAAUAAGCUCCGGCUAACUCCGUGCCAGCCGCCGCCGUAAGAC